rnacentral:rRNA from 1 species
AGUGAACGCUGGCGGUAGGCCUAACACAUGCAAGUCGAACGGCAGCACAGUAAGAGCUUGCUCUUACGGGUGGCGAGUGGCGGACGGGUGAGGAAUACAUCGGAAUCUACUUUUUCGUGGGGGAUAAUGUAGGGAAACUUACGCUAAUACCGCAUACGACCUACGGGUGAAAGCAGGGGAUCUUCGGACAUUGCGCGAGUGAAUGAGCCGAUGUCGGAUUAGCUAGUUGGCGGGGUAAAGGCCCACCAAGGCGACGAUCCGUAGCUGGUCUGAGAGGAUGAUCAGCCACACUGGAACUGAGACACGGUCCAGACUCCUACGGGAGGCGGCAGUGGGGAAUAUUGGACAAUGGGCGCAAGCCUGAUCCAGCCAUACCGCGUGGGUGAGGAAGGCCUUCGGGUUGUAAAGCCCUUUUGUUGGGAAAGAAAAGCAGCAGGUUAAUACCCCGCUGUUCUGACGGUACCCAAAGAAUAAGCACCGGCUAACUUCGUG